GUUUACGAGAGUGCAUUUAUUGGGUAUUUUUCAUGCCAAGAUUGUACUUAUUGGGUACUUUUUGCUUAUUGGGUAUACCCAAUAAGAAGUGUAGCUGAAUAUGCUUAAAACACCCUAAUUGGGUAUUUGCAGGUUAGUACCCAACAAAACUUGGACACGACGAUUUGUCCAAAAAAGUGUCCAAAAAAGUUGCUUUCACGGACGCACCGUGUUUUGUUGUUUCAGUUUUACAUUCGGAACUCUAAAUUCUCGAGAGUUCCGAAAAUCAACUUCCGUUGAUCCUGAUCAUAACAACGUUUGUUUUCAUGGAAAAAAAUAUGGCGACUAAGAAACACUUAAUGUCAACAAGAUUUUCUGAUUGACAAGAGAAAAGGUCAAACAGGAACUUCAAUUGUGAACAUUGCAGAGAACAAACUCAUCAGAAGAUGACCCUCAGAAAUAGGACAAUUAAUGAAUAAAAUGGACAGAGGCAGAACUGAAGGAGAUGCAUGAAAUGAGGAAUAUUUCAAAGAUUGCCUGAGCAUAACCACUGCUACUGGACAAACAUAUGGCAAUAUAAAAGAGCAGGGUCAAUGGAAGUAUCAUACUGUAUAGGCCAUGAGAGACCCUGAAGAAGAAAGUAUUGAACAGAAACAAAAAUAAAACCAUUUUGACAUUUAUUGAAAUAUAGGAUCAAAGUCUUACAUGUAAAAUUUGGGCAUGUAAUGACUUUUCUCUAGCUCUAAGACUUAUAACAGUGAUGAUUUGAUUUAAUAUCUUUAUCCCGAUUUGUCGAAAAGAUUUGGACAUAGUGCAUCAAUUAUUUUAAAAUUUUGAUACAACGAAUUCAUUCAUUGUACUUGUAACUG